CAUAAACUUUUCACAUUAUACUGACCGUUCCUAGAGCAAGUGACAAAGGACUCGGUGGUUGGUAUCCGAGGUCUCAAGUUCUAAUUCUAGUUGAUUCAGAUUUCCAACUAAGUUUAUUUCUAAAUGAAAUAAAUGAAACUGGUAGCGUGCUACCUAUCUCUCAAAAGAAAAAACUUUUCACAUCAUCACCAACCGUUAGAGUUUCUAACGCAAGAGACAAAGAAUUUGAUGAUUGAUACUCGAGAUUUAAAAUUUACAAUUAGUUUAUAUUUUUAACUAAAUUUAUUUUUUUAAAAUAAAUAAAUAAAUAACAUGUUAUUUUUGUCUCUCGCUUUUUUAUA
rnacentral:lncRNA from 1 species